rnacentral:rRNA from 1 species
GACGAACGCUGGCGGCGUGCUUAACACAUGCAAGUCGAACGGAAAGGCCCUGCUUUUGUGGGGUGCUCGAGUGGCGAACGGGUGAGUAACACGCGAGUAUCCUGCCCUUGACUUUGGGAUAACUUCAGGAAACUGGGGCUAAUACCUGCUCGGUGCUCCUGCUGCAUGGUGGGGGUUGGAAAGUUGCGGCGGUUGGGGAUGGACUCGCGGCUUAUCAGCUUGUUGGUGGGGUAGUGGCUUACCAAGGCUUUGACGGGUAGCCGGCCUGAGAGGGUGACCGGCAAAAUGGGGACUGAGAUACGGCCCAGACUCGUACGGGAGACAGCAGUGGGGAAUAUUGCACGAUGGGCGGAAGUCGGAUGCAGCAACGCCGCGUGCGGGAUGACGGACUUCGUGUUGGAAACAGCUUUCGCCUGUGACGAAGCGUGAGUGACGGUAAUGGGUAAAGAAGCACCGGCUAACUACGUG